GACGAACGCUGGCGGCGUGCUUAACACAUGCAAGUCGAACGGAAAGGCCUGCUUUCCCUUGUGGAUUGCGGGUACUCGAGUGGCGAACGGGUGAGUAACACGUGAGUGAUCUGCCCCCAACUUGGGUAUAAGCCUGGGAAACUGGGUCUAAUUCCCGAUAGGACUGCAGGGUGGUGCCUGUGGUGGAAAACGAUUUUCUAGUGGUUGGGGAUGAGCUCGCGGCCUAUCAGCUUGUUGGUGGGGUAAUGGCCUACCAAGGCGGCGACGGGUAGCCGGCCUGGGAGGGUGGACGGCCACAUUGGGACUGAGAUACGGCCCAGACUCCUACGGGAGGCAGCAGUGGGGAAUAUUACACAAUGGGUGGAAGCCUGAUGCAGCGACGCCGCGUGGGGGAUGACGGCCUUCGGGUUGUAAACUCCUUUCGACCGCGAGGAAGCCACCUGGUUGGAAGGGUGGUGACGGUAGUGGUAGAAGAAGCACCGGCUAACUACGUG
rnacentral:rRNA from 1 species